rnacentral:lncRNA from 1 species
UCAUGAAUCGCUUAUGUUCUUGAGUUGUACAUAAUUUUGCUUCUAUGUGGUAGGCCCUUUUGGUCAUUAAGGAACUAUUUAGACGUAUCAAGAAAUGUCAUCAAAUACUUAUACAUUCGGUGAUUACACAUAUCGAAGUGUCUGAAACCCCCGCCUACAGUAUGUUAAGGAGGAACAUUUAUCUUAAUUGUCACGCUUAAUAGGUUAUUAUUACACUUAAAAUAUAAUUAUAAAAUUACGACAUUUGAUAGGUUAUUAGUAAGUUGAUUUAUGGAACCUUUCGACCAAUUACCUAGCAAUAUUUGUAUGACUAUUUAUGUAGAUGGUACAGAGUGCAACAAGUACCUUUUCUACAUAGUUCUAUUUUAUUCUAGCAUCAUAUGAGAAUCAAGCGAAAAAUGAGUACAUAGCAAAUGCAAAAAUCUAAUGGUAUCUGAUCUUGUGAACACUGAAAUUUUAUCGGGUAAGAAGAUCCUCAGUGGGGAUCAGGUCCUACCCGACUGAAAUAACAUAUACAUUUCAAUAUCGUCUGAUGAGGUUAGUUGUUGAAGUCUUGGUUUUGACGUUAUAGUGUCUCAUGAAAAGAAGGUGGAUUAAUAUUUCUUCAAGCACGAGGAAAGAGGUGAUGCCGAUGCUUACUACUAGGUUUUUAUUUAAACCGUCUUGCAGAGUUUGAAGGCCAAAUAUUCCGAGGGAAAUGUUGUAGAUGGAGCUAACGUUUACUCUUUAUAGGAUAAGUCAGUCCUUUGGGUCUCAUUAUCACCUGAUCUCAAUCCUCAGAACUGCAGCGUAUGGAUAAUUUUGUAGGGCAAGGUUAUUACGACCUCUCAUGGCUAUGUGAGACAUUUUCACGAGGAUACGGAUUCGACUCAAAUUUGGUAUGUGGCAUCAUUGAUAGUAGUCCUACUCAUAAAUUAAAUGUUGGAUCCGUUACUCAAUCCAACUUUGAGAUCUUAUAGAUGUACAUUUUAAUGAAUUUUUGAUUAGUGAUAUAUUGUAAACCAUCAUUGAAGAGCCCUCAGUUAGCUAAACAAGACUUAUUUUGUAUUUUUGUAAUUUCAAAAAAAGGUAACCAGCAUUACACUGGAGCUAGAUGUUCAAGGAAUACAUCCAAUUGACCUGAGUGAGGAUUCCUUUUUGUGUCGAGAAUGUGUUUGUUUCGAAGGAUGGUAAUAUUGAGUGGUGCUAGUCAUUGCAUAAGUGGAUUUUUUUUUGUUAAAAGAGUAAAGUUGAACUUUGUAGUGGUCCAAGGAAUUUCUGAAAAAAAAUCUUCUGCACCCUGUAUAACAAUAUCAUAAUAAUAUGAUCAAUAUAAUUAGUUGAGAUAAGCUGAAAUGUCAAAUAUUUUUGUGUGAAUCAACCACCUACUCAUUCGAUACAAACACGCAUACGUGCUUGACGGUUUUGUACUUUUAAAUCAUAAUUAGUGGCGGUGUGUUGAUGAUGACAAA